AGCACAAAUGCAGUCUCCUACUACCACAAAUUAUGCAGUCGAGUUUCCUGCAUUUGUGGAAAUCGCAGGGGUUAGCACUCCAGGAUUACAAUGGGGUGAGCCUCCCCCUGGGAAAAAGACCUUGGUGAUCCUGGUAUCUCCCCUACCAGGCUCCUACCACUUCAAUCCCCUGUGCCCUCUGGAACAAAGUCUAGCUCAGAUGUUGGCAGCAGCAACCCACAAACCUUCACAGCACUGGGACCCAGGAGCCUUGGUUUUGAGGACAAAAGAUAGGCCCUAAAUCCAAUGAUCAGUGUCUUUAGAAGAGAAGAAGACACAGGAAGAGAGAAGAAGAUCAUGUGAAGAUGGAGGCGAAGAUUGGAGUGAAGCAGCCACAAGUCAAGGAAAGCCAGGAGUCGCCAGAAGCUGGAGGAAGCAAAGAUUCUCCCCCAGAGCCUUGGUGGGAGCACAGCCCUGCCAGCACCUCCAGACUUCUGGUUUCCAGAAGGGAGAGGGAAUAAAUUUCUGUCGUUCUAAGCCACCCAGUUUGUGGGAAUUUGUUACAGGAGCCAGAGUAAACUAAUACAUCUGGAACAGAAAUGUACUCAAACUAACUUUGCCAACAAGAGAUAGAAAGGGCAUUUUCUGGAAGGACACGAGAGGACUUCAUAGGUUCUAAGGACAGGAAACUCAGGCUGGCCUCAUAAGGGACAAGGACCAGGCCUAGAAAGUUGGGAAUAAGAUGGCCCUCUCCUUUGUGGACACU